GCCGGGUGCGGUGGCCCACGCCUGUAAUCCCAGCACUUUGGGAGGCUGAGGCAGGUGGAUCACUUGAGGUCAGGAGUUCGAGACCAGCCUGGCCAACAUAGUGAAACCCCGUCUCUA
rfam:Homo sapiens chromosome 17, GRCh38 reference primary assembly.